rnacentral:rRNA from 1 species
AUACGGAGGAUGCGAGCGUUAUCCGGAUUUAUUGGGUUUAAAGGGUGCGCAGGCGGGCGAUUAAGUCAGCGGUGGAAGGCUCGGGCUCAACCGGAGCAGUGCCGUUGAUACUGGUUGUCUUGAAUGCGGUCAAGGCCGGCGGAAUGUGGCGUGUAGCGGUGAAAUGCAUAGAUAUGCCACAGAACACCGAUAGCGAAGGCAGCUGGCCGGGCCUGCAUUGACGCUCAGGCACGAAAGCGUGGGGAUCGAACAGGAUUAGAUACCCUGGUAGUCCACGCUGUAAACGAUGGACACUCGUUGUCGGCGACAGACAGUCGGCGGCCAAGCGAAAGUGAUAAGUGUCCCACCUGGGGAGUACGGUCGCAAGGCUGAAACUCAAAUGAAUUGACGGGG